GGGGUGUCCCCAGAACCCCUUGGAGUGUCCCCAGCCCCUCUUGGGGUGUCCCCAGCCCCUCCUGGGGUGUCCCCAGCCACCCUUGGAGUGUCCCCAGCUCCAUCUUGGGGGUCCCCUCAGCACCAGGGUGGUGGCACCGAGCAGGGACACCCCAGGGGGUGACAUUGGCACCCAUCCCAAUUUUCCACCCAAAUUAGGGGGUGCAAAAAACCCCCAAAAAACCAAAACAACAAAAACCCCGAGACCCCAGAGCUUGACGGGAGGAUGAAUCUGAGUUUGCAAAAUCCCCACAAACCCAGAAAAAACGAGCAGGAAUCGCCUAAAAUCAACCAAACCCAAGCAGGAAGCCAUCAGCAGCCAUCUGUGCCACCAGGAGCACCUCUGCUCCUAGGAUGGGAUGUACAAUAAUAAUAAAAAUAAUGAAGAAACCACAAAAAAAUAAAAUCUACAUACAUAUGUACAGGCUACAUUGUAAACAGCACAAAAAAAAAGAAAAAAAGGAAAAAAAAUAGCUGAGAAGUGUGGUUGAACUUUUUAAGAGAAUAUUAUAAAUACUGUAAUAUAUCAUUUUAUUUUAUUGGCAUGCCUUUUUGUAAAUACAAAGAACUACAAAAAAAAAAUUAUAGAAUGGCUUCUGGCUUAUGCCAUUGUCCAUGGUUAUUUUUAUUUUUUUAAGAUUUUUUCUGUUGUCCUUAGAUUUUAGAUAGCCAGGAAAUGUCCCCCAAAGGAAAAAAACACAACAAAAAAAAUCCAAACGAAAACCUAAUCCCCCCUCAAAAUAGAUUUUAACAAAAGCUUUAUUGCAAGCGGUAUUUGCAGCAGCAAAAUGUCUAUUUUUGGGUUCCAAUGUGCAAUAAGUCGACCACUUCUAUGCAAGAUUUGGCUGAAAUCCAUAAUUGUUCUUAGGCUGGGCUGAGUCUUGUAGGUGACGCUCGGUGCGUUGGCGUUUGUGCUGGCAACUCAUGAAGCUGCUCAAAGACUUUAAAAUAAAAAACUCCCUUCAAACUCUGGAGAGAUUUUAUUUUAUUUUAUUUUAUUUUAUUUUUUAUGUUUUAUCAGUGUGAGAGCCGAGGUUGGGAGGGAGAGGAGGUUCCUCAGCUUUGUGUUGGCUGGAGUUGGUUUUUGUGCUCAAAAAAAAAAAGAGUGGAAAGGGCAUUUUUGGCGUUUUGGGGCUGUUUUUGGGGUUGUUUUUUCUCUUUUCCUCCCCAGGGCUGAUGUUUCCCUCGGGCUUGGAGGAAAUUUUGGGAAAAAAAACCUGGGGGACCUUCCAAAUGUCCAGAUUCAAUCAGGGAAUUCUGGAUUCAGGGGUUUGGGGGUGAAGUUCAGGGGGGUGGUGACGUAGCCAAAAUUUAAAAUCACAUUGAGUAUUUCCCUUUCCUCCCCCACCUCUAAAAUCCUCUUUUUGGGUGAAUUUGUGACCCCAGGAGUGAGGAGGGCGUUAAUGAAACGCCACUCCCAGCUGCUUUAUUCACUUUCCUCUUCACCUUUUCUUAAAAUAUAGAAGCCAAUGUCGAGGAAAAAAAUAAAUAAAAAUUCAGGUAACCCCAUGGGGUUCCCUAGAGGCCACACCUGAGUUCUGAACGAUUUUUCUGCUGGAAAAAAAAAUAAAUUAAAAACUCAACCAAACCAACAAUGUUAAGGCUGCAAAAGCUCAGUAGUGGAGAUUAGAAUAUUAGAAAUUACAUGGUGGCUCAUGAUGGUCUUACCCAACUUGAUUAGCAAUUAACACAAGCCAAAAAGGAAAUUAAUUAAACGUUGCCCUUUUCACUGGAGCAGGGAGGGGUGUCUGGGUUGUUUCCCUGGCUGCGUUCUCCCUCCUCCUCCUCCUCCUCUGUGCUUCCUCCCAGCUCCUCGGGGCGCUUUGGUGGAGCAGGAGGAGCUGCUGGAAGGGUUUUGGUGCCAGGUUGGUGUUGGGUGUGCCAGGUGUGCCCAGAUGUGCCAGGUGUGCCCAGGUGUGCCCAGGUGUGCCCAGGUGUGCCAGGUGUGCCAGGUGUGCCCAGAUGUGCCCAGGUGUGCCCAGGUGUGCCAGGUGUGCCAGGUGUGCCCAGGUGUGCCCAGGUGUGCCAGGUGUGCCCAGGUGUGGCUGAGCCCUGCUGGGGCUGUGGGGUCGGUGGUGCUGGCUCAGGGCUCCCCUUGCUGGGGGAGGUGGGGACCCCAGGCAGGUGAGGAACCGAGGCAGGUGAGGAUCUCAGGUGAGGACCUCAGGUGAGGGUCCCAGGCAGGUGAGGACCUCAGGUGAGGACCCUCAGGUGAGGAUGCUCCGUGCUGGAUCUGCUCUGGCAGGGGAGGACGCUGUUCUGUGGUGGCUCAGCCUGGAACUGCUCACCCUGCAGCCCCUGAUCCUAGAACCCCUCACCUGGAACCCCUCACCUGGAACCCCUCACCUGGAACCCCCCAUCCCAUCUCCUCUCAACCCCUCAGCCCUGUUUCACCUCGGGGAGGGGAGGAGGAGGAGGAUGGAGCGGGAGGAAGGCGGCGGAAGGGACGGGCUGGGAGUUCCCCGCGGCUGAACCUUUGAGUUCCCUUUGUACUGUACAUCUUUUUACUUUGGGAUUUGCAAUAAAGAGGUUCUGUCCAUCUUGUUUUAACAA